rnacentral:rRNA from 1 species
UACGGAGGGUGCAAGCGUUAUCCGGAUUCACUGGGUUUAAAGGGUGCGUAGGUGGGCAGGUAAGUCAGUGGUGAAAUCUCUGGGCUUAACCCGGAAACUGCCGUUGAUACUAUCUGUCUUGAAUGUAGUGGAGGUGAGCGGAAUAUGUCAUGUAGCGGUGAAAUGCUUAGAUAUGACAUAGAACACCCAUUGCGAAGGCAGCUCGCUACACUAUUAUUGACACUGAGGCACGAAGGCGUGGGGAUCAAACAGG